CCUUGGCCGAGAGGCCUGGGCAAUCUUUUGAACUUGCAUCGUGAUAGGGAUAGAUUAUUGCAAUUAUUAAUCUUGAACGAGGAAUUCCUAGUAAACGCAGAUCAUCAAUCUGCAUUGAUUACGUCCCUGCCCUUAGUACACACCGCCCGUCGCACCUACCGAUUGAAUGGUCCGGUGAAGCCUCGGGAUUGUGGUUAGUUCCUUUAUUGGAAGUUAGUCGCGAGAACUUGUC
rnacentral:rRNA from 1 species